UGAUGGUUCUGUAAGCACUACAUUUAUU
rnacentral:piRNA from 1 species